UGGGGAAUAUUGCACAAUGGGCGCAAGCCUGAUGCAGCCAUGCCGCGUGUGUGAAGAAGGCCUUCGGGUUGUAAAGUACUUUCAGCGGGGAGGAAGGCGAUAAGGUUAAUAACCUUGUCGAUUGACGUUACCCGCAGAAGAAGCACCGGCUAACUCCGUGCCAGCAGCCGCGGUAAUACGGAGGGUGCAAGCGUUAAUCGGAAUUACUGGGCGUAAAGCGCACGCAGGCGGUUUGUUAAGUCAGAUGUGAAAUCCCCGGGCUCAACCUGGGAACUGCAUCUGAUACUGGCAAGCUUGAGUCUGGUAGAGGGGGGUAGGAUUCCAGGUGUAGCGGUGAAAUGCGUAGAGAUCUGGAGGAAUACCGGUGGAGAAGGCGGCCCCCUGGACGAAGACUGACGCUCAGGUGCGAAAGCGUGGGGAGCAAACAGG
rnacentral:rRNA from 1 species